rnacentral:rRNA from 1 species
CCUACGGGGGGCUGCAGUGGGGAAUAUUGGACAAUGGGCGAAAGCCUGAUCCAGCCAUGCCGCGUGAGUGAUGAAGGCCCUAGGGUUGUAAAGCUCUUUCAACGGUGAAGAUAAUGACGGUAACCGUAGAAGAAGCCCCGGCUAACUUCGUGCCAGCAGCCGCGGUAAUACGAAGGGGGCUAGCGUUGUUCGGAAUUACUGGGCGUAAAGCGCACGUAGGCGGAUACUUAAGUUAGGGGUGAAAUCCCAGGGCUCAACCCUGGAACUGCCUUUAAUACUGGGUAUCUCGAGUCCGAGAGAGGUGAGUGGAAUUCCGAGUGUAGAGGUGAAAUUCGUAGAUAUUCGGAGGAACACCAGUGGCGAAGGCGGCUCACUGGCUCGGUACUGACGCUGAGGUGCGAAAGCGUGGGGAGCAAACAGGAUUAGAUACCCGUGUAGUC